rnacentral:rRNA from 1 species
UACGUAGGGGGCAAGCGUUGUCCGGAAUUAUUGGGCGUAAAGCGCGUGUAGGCGGCUCGGUAAGUCUGCUGUGAAAGUCCAAGGCUCAACCUUGGAAAGCCGGUGGAUACUAUCGAGCUCGAGUCCGGAAGAGGCGAGUGGAAUUCCUGGUGUAGCGGUGAAAUGCGCAGAUAUCAGGAGGAACACCAAUGGCGAAGGCAGCUCGCUGGGACGGUACUGACGCUGAGGCGCGAAAGCUAGGGGAGCAAACAGG